AGGGUUUGAUCAUGGCUCAGGAUGAACGCUAGCGACAGGCCUAACACAUGCAAGUCGAGGGGCAUCGGGGCGUAGCAAUACGCUGCCGGCGACCGGCGGAUGGGUGAGUAACGCGUAUGCAACCUGCCUUCAGCAGGGGGAUAGCUCGUUGAAAGACGGAUUAAUACCCCAUAACACAGGGGCUCCGCAUGGAGAUUAUUGUUAAAGGGAUACUUCCUUCGGGGGGUAUUCCGGCUGAAGAUGGGCAUGCGUUCCAUUAGGUAGUUGGUUGAGGUAACGGCUCACCAAGCCUACGAUGGAUAGGGGAACUGAGAGGUUGGUCCCCCACACUGGUACUGAGACACGGACCAGACUCCUACGGGAGGCAGCAGUGAGGAAUCUUGGUCAAUGGACGGAAGUCUGAACCAGCCAUGUCGCGUGAAGGAGGACGGCCCUAAGGGUUGUAAACUUCUUUUGCAGCGGAAUAAAGUAUUCCACGAGAUGGGAUAUUGCAAGUACGCUGCGAAUAAGGAUCGGCUAACUCCGUGCCAGCAGCCGCGGUAAUUC
rnacentral:rRNA from 1 species